UGGGGAGUACGGCCGCAAGGUUAAAACUCAAAUGAAUUGACGGGGGCCCGCACAAGCGGUGGAGCAUGUGGUUUAAUUCGAUGCAACGCGAAGAACCUUACCUACUCUUGACAUCCAGAGAACUUUCCAGAGAUGGAUUGGUGCCUUCGGGAACUCUGAGACAGGUGCUGCAUGGCUGUCGUCAGCUCGUGUUGUGAAAUGUUGGGUUAAGUCCCGCAACGAGCGCAACCCUUAUCCUUUGUUGCCAGCGGUUCGGCCGGGAACUCAAAGGAGACUGCCAGUGAUAAACUGGAGGAAGGUGGGGAUGACGUCAAGUCAUCAUGGCCCUUACGAGUAGGGCUACACACGUGCUACAAUGGCGUAUACAAAGAGAAGCGACCUCGCGAGAGCAAGCGGACCUCAUAAAGUACGUCGUAGUCCGGAUUGGAGUCUGCAACUCGACUCCAUGAAGUCGGAAUCGCUAGUAAUCGUAGAUCAGAAUGCUACGGUGAAUACGUUCCCGGGCCUUGUACACACCGCCCGUCACACCAUGGGAGUGGGUUGCAAAAGAAGUAGGUAGCUUAACCUU
rnacentral:rRNA from 1 species